rnacentral:rRNA from 1 species
GACGAACGCUGGCGGCGUGCUUAACACAUGCAAGUCGUACGGUAAGGCCCUUUCGGGGGUACACGAUUGGCGAACGGGGGAGUAACACGCUAGUAUCCUGCCCACCACUUUGGGACAACGCUUGGUAACUGGUGCUAAUUCUGGAUAUGUGCUCUUGCUGCAUGGUGGGGGUUGGCAAUCUCUAGCGGUGUUGGAUGGAUACGCGCCCUAUUAGCUUGCUGGUGGGGUAGUGGCCUAGCGAGGCGGCGACGGGAAGCCGGCCUGGGAGGGUGACAGGCCACAGUGAGACUGGGAUACGGACCAGACUCCGACGGGUAGCAGAGGUAGGAGAUGGUGCUCAAUGAGCACGAGCCUGAUGCAGAAACGCCGCGUGCGGGAUAACGACCAACGGGUUGUAGUCCGCUUUCAGCAGGGACGAAGCUUAUUGUGACGGUACCUGCAGAAGAAGCACCGGCUAACUACGUG